rnacentral:rRNA from 1 species
GAUGAACGCUGGCGGCGUGCUUAACACAUGCAAGUCGAGCGAGAAGUUUUGAAAAGAUUCUUCGGAUGAAAUUUAAAAUGGAAAGCGGCGGACGGGUGAGUAGCGCGUAGGCAACCUGCCCCAUACAAAGGGAUAGCAUUUGGAAACGAAUAUUAAUACCUUAUGAAACUUAACUAGUGCAUGCUAGGUAGGUCAAAGAUUUAUCGGUAUGGGAUGGGCCUGCGUCUGAUUAGCUAGUUGGUGAGGUAACGGCUCACCAAGGCGACGAUCAGUAGCCGACCUGAGAGGGUGAACGGCCACAUUGGAACUGAGACACGGUCCAAACUCCUACGGGAGGCAGCAGUGGGGAAUAUUGCACAAUGGGGGAAACCCUGAUGCAGCAACGCCGCGUGAACGAUGAAGGCCUUUGGGUCGUAAAGUUCUGUUCUAGGUGAUGAAAACUGACAGUAACCUAGGAGAAAGCCCCGGCUAACUCCGUG